AGACUGUAGUCAGUUUAGCUAAUAAACAGUUUUCACUUGUUUAGCUGUCCUCUUCUGGAAUUGGGCUCCGAGGACCGGAGAAAAGCCAGGAUGACAGGGCGGAAACGGAACGAACCACAGACCAAGCCCAGACAGAACGCUGUCUUCUUCUGAAAUUGGGCCCGAAGACCGGAGAAAAGCCAGGAUGACAGGGCGGAAACGGAACGAACCACAGACCAAGCCCAGACAGAACGAAAGCACACCAGCUAUACUCUGGCAUUAUGUGGCUGAGCCAUGAGGAGACAGACCACCAGACAUACCCUGGCAUUAUGUGGCUGAGCCAUGAGGAGACAGACCACCAGAUAUACCC